ensembl:lncRNA
UGAAAAGCUGAAAGUAAUGGAAUAAAAUGAAGGGACGGAUAAACAUGGUGAAGAAAGGAGUUCAGAAACGAGCCAUCUCGUGCUGGUGGAUCUGUUUGGAGGCAGACGGUUGCCAUGGUGCAGUUGCCAUGUGGCUGGUGUCUGACUCAGACAGGCCCACACACUGUCAGUAGGAGGACAAGAGAUUACAGCACUCAGUGAAAGGGCAUGAAUACUGACACCCACAAUGUUUUGAUGGGAACAGUAAAUCCCUCAGCGGUGCCUCAC